ensembl:lncRNA
UUUUUACUUUAGAUUUUUAUUUCUUGUUAAGAUAGAUUUCUGGAAGUGGAAUUAUUGAAUUAAAGGGUAGGAAUAAUUUCAGGUACUUUGUGUCAUGGUGCAAAAGUCCAAAAGGACUGUGCAAAUGAAAGAACCAGUAUGCCCUGUAACGCCACCAACUUUGGAGUCAGUCAGUCAGUUCUAGCUCUGAAUAUCAGCAUCCAUGCUCUGUGACCUGGAACAAGUCAUUUUACCUCACUGAAUACUCUCCCAAUUUGUAAAUAAGCCAUCAAAAGAAAAAUAAUAAGGUGGCUCAUAAUAUUCACUUCAGAAAAUUGUUAGGAUUAAAAAUAAACACAGUUAAAUUUUUUUUGGUAAUAGUUGAUUUGACAAAUAUUAAUUAUUCGAUUAAGCUAAGAAAAAGACUGGAUGGCUGGGGGGAGAGGUGGCUUGGAGGAAGCCCCACAGGUAACAGGUAACAGAUAACAUUAUUACUACAUUUGUAUAUUCAUUUGGGUUACACAAAUCCAAGCUGUGCUAGGAACUUGGAAUAUAGUGAGUAACAAAAACAGAUGGAGACCAGCAUUACAUAAAAAAUUAUCGAAAGAACAUACAAUUGCAAACCACGACAAACGAACUUUUAAAUAAAGUAAGGGGAACAACGAAGAGGCUCUAGAAGAUAUCAAGCGACAUCAAAAAGACAAACUUCAAAGGUGACUAGAGCCCUUAGCCCACUGAAGGAGUAUACUUAUCAGCAACCCCUUCUGGAACUUUUUAUGUGUUUGGGGCUCUCUCCGCUAACAUCCCUAGGGGCCCGAGAGAGCUACAAAGUGGGCGGUGUGUCCAGACCGAAGGGGUGGGGCCCUGCCCCGGGGAGUGGCUCAGCACAGGAUCCCCAGGGACAACCCCGGGCAGGUCUGGGGAAGGAGGUCGGGGCCAUGGGCGCGGGCACCACGGGGUCCGACGACGCCGAGGCGCUGGACGCAGUGCUGGGCACGCUGCUGGCAGUACUGGUGCUGGUGGUGGUCAAGGCGGCCGUGGACGUGCUGCGGCGGCGGCGAGCGCACGCGACCGUCCUGGUGGUGGGCGCAGGGCCGGUGGGGCUGACCGCGGCUCUCGUCGCUGUCCGCUCGAGCCGGGUGCUGAAGCUGACCGUGCUGGACGCGUGCGCGCGGGGUCCGCUGCUGGGGCGCCCGCAGCAGAUUGCGCUGGACCCCCGCAGCGUCCGCUUCCUCCAGCCGCUGGGAGUGGACUUCGACAACAUGGAAGGCUGCUGGCGCAAUGGCCAAUUCUUCACCCGGGUCGGCGUCUUCCAGGAGCACCUGCUCAGCCUCCUGGAGAGGAAGGGCCAGCUGCCUGGCUUUCGUCUUAUUCUGGGCACCAAGUUUACAGAUGACUUCAUGAGAAAGGUGGUAGUGCCAGACUGGCCCAAAAUCAUUGUGGUGGCUGAUGGCUCCCAUGGGGAGACCUGCUCUGUUCUGGGGCUCAGUCCAGAUUAUGUAGUGGAAUCCUGCAAUGCUUACGGAGCUAACGCCACCAUCACGAGACUGGACCAGAGACAGGUGCCCACACCAGAAAUCCGAGCCCACAACCUCUACCUCGAUCUCUCUGCUUAUGGGAUCGAGUUCACUUCUGCAACAAAGGAAUCCCCAAUCUCGCAUCAGGCAGUCAAACAGCCAGGUUUCCACCUGAAAAUCUACGGAACCUUCCGCCAUCGAUAUAUCGCUUUGGCAUGUCCAGCUUCUGAUUCCAAAGUUGUUAGAUUUCUCCGUCAUACUGUCAGCUCCUCACCCCCCAGUACAUAGUUGUACAUUCUUCGUCGUGGGUCCUUCUAGUUGUGGCAUGUGGGAUGCUGCCUCAGCAUGGUUUGAUGAGCAGUGCCAUGUCUGCGCCCAGGAUUCGAACCAACGAAACACUGGGCCACCUGCAGUGGAGUGCGCGAACUUAACCACUCGGCCACGGGGCCAGCCCCUAACCCAGAGAUUUUUAAAAAAUGUUUCUAUUCACAAUAUUUGUAAAUCAGGUAAAUUGUCAUAUUCUUAAAUGACAAAUUCCUGAGAUAUGAAUGUAAACUUUCAUUAUUAAUGAUCUAUUGCUGUGUAACAAAUAACCCCUAAGUUAGUGCCUUACAACAACAUUUAUGAUGUCACCAUGUCUGUGGGUCAGGAAUUCAGGUGUGGUUUAGCUGGUUACCUCUGGCUCAGGGUCUCUCACAAGGCUGCAGUCAUCUCAAAGCUUAACUGGGGCCAUUGUGUGUGUGUGUAUGUGGGUGUGAAUCUGUUUUGAAACUCGCUCAUGUGACUCUUGGCAGGAGAUACCAGAUCUUUGCACAUGGGCCUCUCUGUAAGGCAGCUUAUAACAUGGAGGAUGGCAUCCCUCAGCAUGAGUGAGCAAGAGGGAGAGAGGCUGAACACCCAAGAUAGAAGCUGUAGUCUUUUUAUGACCUAAUCUUGGAGUGACAUCCCAUUUCUUCUGCCAUAUUGGAUUCAUUAGAAGAGAGUUGAUCAAUCAAGUCCACAUUCAAGGGGUGGAUAUUACACAUGGGCAUGAAUACCAGGAGAUGGGGAUCACUGGGGGCGAUCUUAAAGACUGCCUUUCAUACCCUGUGAGCAUUAAGUCGGAGAUGUCCUUAAUCAACACACAGCAUUGCUAUGACUCUAAAUAGUUCAAAAACAUAUUGGAUUGUUUUUCUGGGCUUAUUGUUUAGUUAACAAAAAAUUAUUGGAAUAAAAUAUAUUUG